rnacentral:rRNA from 1 species
GACGAACGCUGGCGGCGUGCUUAACACAUGCGAGUCGAACGGAAAGGCCCUGCUUUUGUGGGGUGCUCGAGUGGCGAACGGGUGAGUAACACGUGAGUAACCUGCCCUUGACUUUGGGAUAACUUCAGGAAACUGGGGCUAAUACCGGAUAGGAGCUCCUGCUGCAUGGUGGGGGUUGGAAAGUUUCGGCGGUUGGGGAGGGACCCGCGGCUUAUCAGCUUGUUGGUGGGGUAGUGGCUUACCAAGGCUUUGACGGGUAGCCGGCCUGAGAGGGUGACCGGCCACAUUGGGACUGAGAUACGGCCCAGACUCCUACGGGAGGCAGCAGUGGGGAAUAUUGCACAAUGGGCGGAAGCCUGAUGCAGCAACGCCGCGUGCGGGAUGACGGCCUUCGGGUUGUAAACCGCUUUCGCCUGUGACGAAGCGUGAGUGACGGUAAUGGGUAAAGAAGCACCGGCUAACUACGUG